rnacentral:rRNA from 1 species
UACGGGGGGGGCAAGCGUUGUUCGGAAUUACUGGGCGUAAAGGGUUUGUAGGUGGCUUGCUAAGUCAGACGUGAAAUCCCUCAGCUUAACUGGGGAACUGCGUCUGAGACUGGCAAGCUUGAGUGCAGGAGAGGAACGCGGAAUUCCAGGUGUAGCGGUGAAAUGCGCAGAUAUCAGGAGGAACACCGGUGGCGAAGGCGGGUCUCUGGGCCGAUACUGACGCUGAGGAGCGAAAGCGUGGGGAGCGAACAGG